GCAGUUAGCUCAGUUGGUUAGAGUGUGGUGCUGAUAAUGCCGAGGUCAUGGGUUUGACCCCCAUAAGGGGCC